rnacentral:sRNA from 1 species
CUUCUUCGAUCUGCUGCGGGCAGAUGAAGUGGAUGUGCGUGUCGAUCCCGCCUGCGGUGAUGAUCUUACCUUCGCCCGCGAUAAUCUCGGUGCCGGGGCCGAUAACAAUCGUCACAUCCGGCUGAAUAUCCGGGUUCCCGGCCUUGCCGAUGGCGACGAUGUUGCCGUCUUUCAGGCCGAUAUCGGCUUUGACGAUGCCGGUCAUCGCGUCGAGAAUGAGGGCAUUGGUGAUGACCGUAUCGACAGCCCCUUCGGCGCGCGUCAUUUGCGACUGGCCCAUGCCGUCGCGGAU